UACGGCUAUAUUAUGCUGAAACACCGGUUUCCGUCUGAUUAGGGAAGUUAAGCAAUGUUGAACCUGGUCAGUAAUGAGAUGGGUGACCACUUGGGAAUACCAGGUCCUGUAA